AUUUGAAAAAUGUAGAUUUUUACAUUUUUAUGACUUCCAAAUAUUUUUAUAAGUAAAUAUACAAUAUAAUAAAAAUAAGCAUACAAUAUAAGAAAUAUAAAUUUUACAUGAAGCAUCUAUUAUAAUAAUAUCAUUUGAUAUAAAAGCAAGAAAAUUAGAAUAAGUAAAUAUACAAUAUAAGAAAAAUAAAAAAUAGGUAAAAUACAAUUAAUAAAUGAAAAAUCUAAAUUAAACAUCUCUCUAAGAAAUGUAUAGUAAAAAAAAUAAUAAAUUAGUAUACAAUAUAUUAAAUAGAAAUAUUAUAUUAAGCAUCUAUCGUAUUAUUAGAAUAAGUAAAUAUACUAUAUAAGGAAAAUAA
rnacentral:lncRNA from 1 species